rnacentral:rRNA from 1 species
CUUUUGUGGGGUGCUCGAGUGGCGAACGGGUGAGUAACACGUGAGUAACCUGCCCUUGACUUUGGGAUAACUUCAGGAAACUGGGGCUAAUACCGGAUAGGAGCUCCUGCUGCAUGGUGGGGGUUGGAAAGUUUCGGCGGUUGGGGAUGGACUCGCGGCUUAUCAGCUUGUUGGUGGGGUAGUGGCUUACCAAGGCUUUGACGGGUAGCCGGCCUGAGAGGGUGACCGGCCACAUUGGGACUGAGAUACGGCCCAGACUCCUACGGGAGGCAGCAGUGGGGAAUAUUGCACAAUGGGCGGAAGCCUGAUGCAGCAACGCCGCGUGCGGGAUGACGGCCUUCGGGUUGUAAACCGCUUUCGCCUGUGACGAAGCGUGAGUGACGGUAAUGGGUAAAGAAGCACCGGCUAACUACGUGCCAGCAGCCGCGGUGAUACGUAGGGUGCGAGCGUUGUCCGGAUUUAUUGGGCGUAAAGGGCUCGUAGGCGGUUGAUCGCGUCGGAAGUGUAAUCUUGGGGCUUAACCCUGAGCGUGCUUUCGAUACGGGUUGACUUGAGGAAGGUAGGGGAGAAUGGAAUUCCUGGUGGAGCGGUGGAAUGCGCAGAUAUCAGGAGGAACACCAGUGGCGAAGGCGGUUCUCUGGGCCUUUCCUGACGCUGAGGAGCGAAAGCGUGGGGAGCGAACAGGCUUAGAUACCCUGGUAGUCCACGCUGUAACGGUGGGUACUAGGUGUGGGGGUCCAUUCCAACGGGUUCCGUGCCGUAACUAACGCCUUUAAGUACCCCGCCUGGGGAGUACGGCCGCAAGGCUAAAACUCAAAGGAAUUGACGGGGCCCCGCACAAG